rnacentral:rRNA from 1 species
AGAGUUUGAUCAUGGCUCAGGACGAACGCUGGCGGCGUGCUUAACACAUGCAAGUCGAACGGACACCAUCGGAGCUUGCUUCGAGAAGUGUUAGUGGCGAACGGGUGAGUACCACGUGAGGAACCUGCCCUUGAGAUGGGGAUAACACCGGGAAACCGGUGCUAAUACCCAAUAAUCACACCUGAUCGCAUGGUCGGAUGUGCAAAUGCUUUUACGCUCAAGGAGGGUCUCGCGGCCUAUCAGCUUGUUGGUGAGGUAACGGCUCACCAAGGCUUCGACGGGUAGCUGGUCUGAGAGGACGACCAGCCACACUGGGACUGAGACACGGCCCAGACUCCUACGGGAGGCAGCAGUGGGGAAUCUUGCGCAUGGGCGAAAGCCCUGACGCAGCAACGCCGCGUGGGGGAUGAAUGCUUUCGGGUUGUAAACCCCUUUCAGCGGGAACGAAAUUGACGGUACCCGCAGAAGAAGCUCCGGCCAACUACGUGCCAGCAGCCGCGGUAAUACGUAGGGAGCAAGCGUUGUCCGGAUUUACUGGGCGUAAAGAGCUCGUAGGCGGUUUGCCAAGUCGAAAGUCAAAACUACAGGCUCAACUUGUAGUCGCUUUCGAUACUGGUAUGACUUGAAUCUGGUAGGGGAUCACGGAAUUCCUGGUGUAGCGGUGAAAUGCGCAGAGAUCAGGAGGAACACCAAUGGCGAAGGCAGUGAUCUGGGCCAGUAUUGACGCUGAGGAGCGAAAGCGUGGGGAGCGAACAGGAUUAGAUACCCUAGUAGUCC